rnacentral:tRNA from 1 species
GCAACCGUGGCCUACUGGUUAGGGCUUCAGGCUUGUAACCGAAGGGUUGCUGGUUCGAUCCCCGACCAGUACA